AUACCAUGGUGUGGGCAUUUUUUUAACAUUGCUUUUAAUCUUUCCCAUGCUGGUAUACAGAUUCAGUAUCUGUUUGCAUAAAAUUAUUGAUUUCUUGCUUCAUUUU
rnacentral:snoRNA from 1 species